GACGAACGCUGGCGGCGUGCUUAACACAUGCAAGUCGAACGGAAAGGCCCUGCUUUUGUGGGGUGCUCGAGUGGCGAACGGGUGAGUAACACGUGAGUAACCUGCCCUUGACUUUGGGAUAACUUCAGGAAACUGGGGCUAAUACCGGAUAGGAGCUCCUGCUGCAUGGUGGGGGUUGGAAAGUUUCGGCGGUUGGGGAUGGACUCGCGGCUUAUCAGCUUGUUGGUGGGGUAGUGGCUUACCAAGGCUUUGACGGGUAGCCGGCCUGAGAGGGUGACCGGCCACAUUGGGACUGAGAUACGGCCCAGACUCCUACGGGAGGCAGCAGUGGGGAAUAUUGCACAAUGGGCGGAAGCCUGAUGCAGCAACGCCGCGUGCGGGAUGACGGCCUUCGGGUUGUAAACCGCUUUCGCCUGUGACGAAGCGUGAGUGACGGUAAUGGGUAAAGAAGCAUCGGCUAACUAC
rnacentral:rRNA from 1 species